AUUGAACGCUGGCGGCUGGUCUAACACAUGCAAGUCGAGCGAGCGGCCGACGGGUGAGUAAUGUCUGGGAAACUGCCUGAGGGAGGGGGAUAACUACCGGAUACGGUAGCUAAUACCGCAUACCAUCAGAUGUGUCCAGAUGGGAUUAGCUAGUUGGUGGUGUAACGGCCCACAUAGGCGACGAUCCCUAGCUGGGCUGAGAGGAUGACCAGCCACACUGGAGCGGAGACACGGUCCAGACUCCUACGGGAGGCAGCAGUGGGGAAUAGUGCACAAGGGGCGCACGCCGGAUGCAGCCAUGCCGCGUGGGUGAAGAAGGUCUUCGUGUUGUAAAGCACGUUCAGCGGGGAGGCGUUACCAGCAGAAGAAGCACCGGCUAACACCGUACCAGCAGCCGCGGUAAUUC
rnacentral:rRNA from 1 species